rnacentral:lncRNA from 1 species
CACCCCUAUUCCCACCCAGCGUUCGUCCCCAGCCACCCCCCAGCUGCCCCACCCGGCUCGCACUCCUCUCCACCCGCCGACUCCGGAGCCCCCAGCGUGGUCCCCGGGCCGGGGCUGGCGUCCCCCGGGGAAGCCAGAGCCCACGGGCAGGCCCCCUCCAGGGAGGAGGCGGGCGCGGGCCGGGGCGGGUGGGGGCAGCCCUCAGACCCCGCGCCACCCAGCUCCUCCCCCAGGACCCGCCGUAGCCACUUCCCCCAAUUUUUUUUCCCCGGACAAACUUUCCUGGGCCCGUCCCGGGGGUCGGUGUGGGAGGGGGUUCCUUCAAGUUUCCUCUCCUGACUUUGGGAUGAUCAGGGUCCCUCCACCCCGCCCCUCGCCCCCGGGAGCCGGGCCGCGCCCCCCAUCCACGGCGCGGGCCGAUCCUAGGGCGGGACGGGGGCGGGAGAAGGAAACCGGGCUCCCCUGCCCAUCCCCCGCCAGGGGCUCCCCCCGAGAGCCUAGGGGGCCGCCGCGCCGUGUCCCGCGCCCGGCCUGCCGGGGCUGCUGGACUAGAGGGAUUGAUUAUUGAUUGGUGAUCGGGGUCGCUGAGGCUCCGGGCCGGCCCGGCCGACUGGCCGCGGCAAGAAGGAGCUGGCUGGGCGGCGUGGGCGGCGGGGCGACGCGGGCUCACUUACGGGCGGCGGUGAGGGCGCGGGUGGGCCGGAGCUCAUGCGGGCGACCCCCGGGCGGCGGCGGCUGAGCGGGAGCCGGAGCCCGAGCGGCGCGGGCGGCGGCGCAUCGAUGCGCUGCGGGCUCGAUUGCGUCUCCCUGGGCCAGCUCUCAGGCCGGGAAUGGGGCGGCCGCGCCGGGGCCGGCUCCGGGCGCUGCCGGGCGGCGGCUGCUGGAGCGCGGGGGCGGCCUCCGGGCCCACUAUCCCCGAGGCGGCCCUGCGCCCGGGCGCGCCGGCUGGGGCUCUGGCGCUCUCGCAGGCCCCGAGGCCGACAGUCCCGGCGAGGGCGGGCGCCCCGCGCUCCAGCACCGGCUGCCUGAGCGCUCCUGGAGCAGCAAACCCCAGACUUCUUCCUCCUUCUCUCCUUCCUUCCUUCCCCCUCCCCUUAUCUUUUUCUUUUUUUAGUCUCUUUCUCCCUCUUUUUCUGCCCUGUGUCCUUUUUAUUUUUUCUCUACGACUGUUUUUGCAAGUUUGUUUCAAAAGUUCACAGCAUGCUUUCUUUUCUUUUAGACCGGGAGACAGUGAUCUCACCCACACGGUAAGAUCAAAAGUCUCCGCUCGCCCAGCCUGCGGGCUUGGGCUGGGUCCAGACGUCUCCCAGGAUGCAGAUGCGCCGCCGCUGGCCUCCCCGGCUAUAAAGCCGCCUCCAGCGCCUUUCCGCGCGCAGGAGCGCUCGGAGUUGUGGGGUACGGACCCCAGGCGGGGCAGGGAGUCCGAGGCGGGCUGCGGCGGGGCUCUCGGGCUGGCGGACUCGGGGGCUGAGGCGCCGUGCGCGUUGGGUGCCCGCGGCCGCAGAGGCCAGAACCGCUACUCCUCCAGGCCGGGGAGACGCGGCCGUGGAGCGUGAAACGCUUCUUGCAAGCGAGGAAACGGUGAGUUGGCCGACACCGCCGGCGGCCUCACCAUUCUGGUGGCCGCGCUGAGCUCCUGUCGCCUGGAGGCGGGUUGCGCCGCACGGGGUCAGCUCCCGCCGGCUCCCAGCUCACCUUCGAAGCUCCCACUUAGGCGCGCCCGGUGCGGCGUGUGCACAGCGCGGGGCGCCGCACACGGAAGCGUGUAGUUCUCCCUGGUCGCGCUUUUCUCCUCCUUUCCAUCCCCUCGCUGUUCUUGCAAACCUCUGUUCCUUCGGCCCCCUCCCACUGCGGGCCGCGGCCUGAACUCGGGUCUCCGCGUAGCCGGCCGCCGCCGCUGGGUCGCUGCCUGGCCCUCCCCCGCUCAGGCGCCGAGCGCUGUGCGAUCCGCCCUAACAUCUGUCCGUCCAACCAUUGGCGCAUCCAUCAGUGUCAAUGGGCUGCACAUUGCAGCGACAGCCCGCCACGCACAACACGGGCUAUGCGGAGUGCACGCAGCAACCAUACUGCCAUGUCGGGACACGCAAAAAGGCCCCCGGCCUGGCUUGGCACAGCCUGAAGGCCUAAUCUGUGUUCUUUCAGCCACAUGUACCCACCCCCACUUAAUAUCUGGACCCCCAAACAUGAAUAGUUUUGCAGACCAUUGUAGGGAUGGAAUUGAAGGAAGAGGGGCAGUGUCGCCCGAGUCAUUAUUUUCCACCAGGUUUUCUCUGCCCUUGUGUGGGCUGGGUGUGGCUAGGAGAGAAGGAAGGGAGACUUCCCAAAUCCGCACCAAGCACACUGCAGAACCGGAAGCUACCUGGAUGCAAGGGCUUAAACCCCCUUCACCUGGGCCUAGGAUGUGUUGUCGAGGUCGCUGGCCAGGUUUUAGCCAGGAGGUCUCGCGCUAAAACUUUUUGGCCCCGCCUGGCUGCUGUGUGUGACAUGGCCUGAUGGAGAGGAGCUGGAGAGCGGAGGAAAACGUGGAUCCCAGUGAGAACUAAGGGCCAGAUUUAGGGAGAAAUAGUGUCUGGAUGGCAGUAAGUCUGUAAUUCACAUUUUGUUUACAAAGGGAGAAAGGGCAGGGCUGUAGGUUUGAGAAGCCAGAGGUUUGCGCGGAGUUCCGUGUGCCCAUUCCCCGAGAGUGCCGCUCUUGGCUGUAGUUGUUUGUUCUACCUGAUUUUGCCUCUUGCCUUCAACUCCCCCAUAACCCCUCCCCAAAUGUCCAGAGGGCAAACAUAUGCGCAUACCUCCCUGAUCAAUCCAGCCAGACCAAAGGGCCUUCCCUGUCCUCCCCCUAAGAACUUAAUGGGAAGAGUGUACGGGGGACCUACUCUUGGGACAUCUGCAGGGCGGCUGUACCAGGCGUUUUACCUGACUUUAUUCUUACCGCAAAGAUUUCCGUCUCGGUACCUGGUGCCCCCUCAGAGUCCACUACACAAACGGGUAAAAUCCCGCGCGGCUAUUCAUUUCGCCAUUCGCGAGUAAGAAGGGGAAAAGGAGCCGCUUCUAGGAGAGCACUGAGGUAUGCUCGGUUCGGUUCCCGAGGAGGCCAGAAGCGGCCGCGGCGGCGCGGGCUGGAGCUCCCUCCUGCAGGGAGACACCGCGCUCUAGGGUGCGGGCUUCGCCGCCCACAUCCAGUGGUCGAACUGUUUUCACGCUAGACUAGAGGGCGGAAAAGUCUGCGCCCGCGGAGAAACUAGAAUUCUGUAGAAUGUACACUGUGUAGAAAUCUUUUCACCCCACUCUUCAGAGUUGCAGAUUAUCUUUGAAAAACAACAGGCUCUGGCCCUGCCAGCCCUAGUAACUUCUACCCGCCUGAGUCACUCUGAAAAGUAAGCCCCUAGGCCAGUGAGAUGUCCCCACCUUUGGGAGGUGCCGCCUUUCCGGGAACAUUAAAAAAAAAACCCUAAAAAUAGAAGGAGGAAAAAUGAGCAAAGGCGGUGGGACGACUCACCGAAACACCGAGGUGCAAAUGUCCAUUGGAGAAACUGGCAGUCGCAUGGCAGCCAGCUGGCUCACCCAAUAGCUGGGUGGUAACCUUGUGAUCCCCAAACAUCCCCCAGGGCCAUGAAGGCAGUGCUGACCCCCACGAUUGCACCUCAGGCCCGGUGGAAUCCCGCUCCUCCUCCAUAGUGGUGCUAUGUAAUCAGUAGAAAAUCAGUAGAAAAGCUCCCAAAUGAAGCUGCUUCAGGUCAGGGGUUAGAAAUCUGCCUCAGACUUUUUGAACUCAAGGAAAUCGGGACAUCUGUCCCCAGAGCUACCUGUGCCCCACCCCAGGAUCAUUCAUGACCUUAGCUACCGGGAGCUCUGCCCGGAUAAGUUUUUAAAAGAGAGAGAGAAAGAAAAAAGUCACAUGCAGGCAAGGCUAGGAACAGGUGUGUGCUGUGGGGACGGGCACUUGGCUCGCAACACACCACACAAAGUCACGAAGUCUGUGCCAGAAAGGAGUAGCCAAACCACCGCCGGGAGGCAGCCGAGGUUGUGUUUAAGGUGGCGAUUGAGGGCAGUAGGUGACAACUCGACCCAAAGAAGGCCAAGUCUUGUCCUUAUCUGGGGUGGCCACUGAGGGAAAAGACUUAAGGGAAAGAAGUUGUCUUCAAAGCUACCAUUACAAGAUGAGGAGCUAGAGUGGGCUCAGGUCCCAGGCACCCAGGGCUUAAGCCUUGAUGUUGGAGAGGUUCUCGGAGGGAGGCUUGGGCCACCUGGAGGGACUGGGCACUCUGAGUAGUACCCUCUGGGAGGCUGUACCCCCUUUCAAAGUGUGAGGGCAUUUGCCCAAGGUGUAGGCUUUUAGGGAGCCCAGGGCUGGGCAGCACCAGGGGAGAGAGGCACCAGGUGGGUGCCCUCCUGCCUGCACUCACCUGGAAUGCUGGCAUAUGGGUUUUUCGCCUUCCUCACGCCUCCCCACACCACAUUCUGGGCUAGGCAGUGUCGAGGAGGUGCCUUGGGUUCAGGGAAGCUUGCCACCUGCACACCUGAACCAGGAAUUGGGCCCCGGAAUCUCAGCCCCUGCCCAAGCAGGAAGGAUAGGGACCCUGGCCCUCGCCAGGUGGUAAAUUGUUUGCUAAAAGUGCAUUUACACGGCGGCGAAGUUUGUUUCUCUUUUACCGGUAGCUUUGUUUUAACGAACCAGAUGUUUUGUCUGUAAAUUCUCCCAAGAACUUUUCCAGUUUUGACGUGAAAUAAACCUUCGAAAAUCAGAAGAGUAUAUUAAUACCACUUCUGUGGGGCCUCAGGAGAGCUGAGUCAGGUGUGCCUGGAUGGGAGCUGGGGGUGGGAGUACAAUCUUUGGAGAGAAGUAGGGGGCUUCUCUUGGCCCAAGGUCAAGAAUUGGUUUGGGGGAGGUGAAGUGCCUCCCCGACUCCCAAAACAGGCGCACACACACGCAUUGUCACACCAGAGUACGCACUCCCAGCCCUCCUCCAACCAGGCAUAGCUUGCUACUUCGUAAAUUUCUUGUGGCUUGGGGCACAGAGAUGUAGCUCAACUUUGCAGACUGUGUCCACUGCAUGCCGCUGCCGUUUUCCACGAGGACCGCCUGACUGAAAGGCAAAGGGGCCUUCGAUCUUCUUCCCGGGGCAGCUUUGAUGCCUGAGUGUGCGGGGCCGGGGCCGGGGCCAGGGCAGAGCAGGGUGGAAGCUGGUGCCCCUGUCUGGCCCACCCUUAACUCCUGGGCACCACUCGAUUCGGGAGAACUUGGGGUGGAAGCCGACCUGGUCUAGGAAGCCACAGCCUGCAGGUCCCCCUCUCCAAUGCCUCAUUUUUUCCGAUUUAGGAUUUCCAGGCAGUUAUAAACACCUUAAAAAAAAAGACCCACUUAACAAUACACCUAAAAGAGGGAGGGAAGGAAGGAAGGAGUACGGUUAUCACAGGCGUGUGGGGAGAGGGAAACCAGGUCUGCCUAGAAACCCACCUUCUGGUCCUGUGAGUCAUAGCGGCCACUUUCUCGGGUUUCCCAAGACAGGAGAUGGCGAUUUUCUGCUCCCUCCCCUCUCCCCAAGCUUUCCAGUGCUCUGAGUCUCACAUCUUCAGAUACCUCUUUCUUCCUUCAUUCUCUUUCGUUCAAUCAUCUACGGAACUUUCAAAAACUUUUUUUUUAGGAGAGCGAAGAUUAAAUAAAGAAAAUAAAACGUCUUUGUAUUUCAGUCUAAGGAGGACAGAUGCACAUUAAACUCAGUUUGGAGCGCUUAACUCCAGGCGAAAUGCCCUUUUAUCAAAUCCCACGCGUCGACUUGGGUUGCGCUGGGAAUUUCACGAAUUCCUCGCUGCAGCGUGGCGUGGUUUACCCCCACCCCCACCGCCACCCCACUUUGGGUGAAAUGGAUUUUUGGAAACCAUUUAAGCAGAGCUAAAAAUAAGGGUGGGGGGAUCCCUACACUAGAGAUAGCUGCAGCCACCUAGGGGCUCACCCCUGGUCGGGAGCGAGCAGCUAUUUGCUAGUUGUAGCUCAGGGGUGCCCAACUCUUCCCGUGUGGUUGCGCCAGCUGCCCCGCACUGCAGGUAUCUGAAUCAUUACGUGGGCAACCUGAUGCGGCUCUGAACCCCAGCUCUUUGAAUGCUGGAAUCCUGAAGGAGGAGGAUUCCACCAGGUCUUAGCCGACCAGAUAGCCCAGCUUUCUGAGGCUGGUGACCUCAUUAACUGGCCAGGGAAUUUGCAAGACCAGGAAUAAUCACGUUUCCCAGUUCUUCUUUCCUACAUUGCUUUUCUCCUCUGUCUUCAACGUUAGGGUUUUGUGUUUGUCCCUAAAUUUACAAUUUACAAACGGGGAAGACGGAGCCUAAGUUUCUGCAGGGCAGGUACAAAAGAGAGGGACAACACUCUGGGGGCCUCAUUCUUUCACGUUUUUGUUUCUUGAAAUUUGAUGGAUAUCACCUUAGUUCGGCAAUAGGAGGGCCAGGGUGACUGGGGACAUGGUGGCCCGAAGGGUUAGAUAAUAUAGCAUGCAGGUAGUCUCUGAUCUCCAGGGCUUUGAUAACACCAAGAUUUUCCUCCUUUGCAGAGCAGUCCUAAAUUCUGCCUUCUCCCUUUUCUGCCGCCUCUUCUCUUUUCCCCAUUUCUUUCUUCGUUUCUUUUUCUGUUUUCUUUUUGUGUGCCUCUCUUCCAACAGUCCCUCCUCCACCUUUAUAAGACUUCUCAAAGGUUAUUUAUUUAAGGUCUACCAAGUGCUAGCCCCAAACAGGUCCAGUCCUUCUACCUGUGGCAAGACGGAGGCUGUUACCGCGUGCAAAUAGUGAGGGAACAAAGUAGUUUGGAGUUUUUUGCAGCUUUUUUAGGUGAGGGGAAGGGAGGGAGGUCAGAAAUAGGUUGACACUUGGUUUGAAAUAAAAGAGCAUGUUAAGAAGUUUCGAAGCUGCCAAUAAAACCCUUUAAGUGGCUUGUGAUUCAGUGCCUGGAGUUGCGGGGAUGGCAUUGGUAAAUGACUCUAAUGCCCAAAGAAAAAUAUUACAAAUGCCGCUGUCUCGGCCACCAAUCGGGCGCCGCUUUCCUGCGCGGGCGAUGGCUCCUCUCUGGCGCGGAGGGCACCCACAUUUGCAUGAUAAAUUGACCAGACUGGCGGCAGCCAAUGAAAUAUUCAAAUUAGGCUGGGUGGCGGUAGUAGGGGUGGAGUCCCUGGGGCUGCCCCUUGGCGCGGCGGCGGGAGCGGGCGCUACCACCUCUCCGUCAGCGCCCUCUGGAGGCGGGACAGCGCGGGCGGCCGCUCUGGCCCAAAAGACGAGAUGGGGGGUUGGGGGUUUGGGAUGCAAGGGGGUUUGGGAGGGGUGAUGGUGGGGUCUGGGUGGUGCUUCGCGGCCCCAGGAGGCUUUCCGGCUGGCCUCGUUGACUAGGCGUACAGCAGCGUCUCCGCAUGCCUCUUGCCCUUAAAAGUGUUGAUGGAUUGCAGAAGUGGAUGGUGACCCCAAGGAGGGGUUUCAGAAAGGCUCCAGCCUCCUUCGCCCAACCACCUUCUCUAGGUUCCCCUAACAAACCCAUCACUUAAGUUAAAAACGUGUAUUUGCUCUUGUUGACUUAGCUUUAAGACAAGAUUCUUGCCCACCGCAGACCACAUGGCCAGCUUUCCCAAAGGCCCUCUGAUAAUGAAAUGGUGGAGCAGAUAUAUCAAACUUUCCAUCUUGCCCUGAGCCAACGACCCUGCACCCUCACAGGCCAGGGCACUCUGGAGGGCACCCUGCCUGGAGCCCCAAACCUUGGGUAAGCUGUGGGAGCCUAGGCAGGGGCAGGCAGUGCCUGGAGGCUGGCUUCAGACGGCAGAACUUCUCACCUGGGAAAAUGCUUUCUGGAAGAAGCACCCAGGCCUCAAGGCAGCUCCAGUGAGGGGGCAAAAAGGGAUAUACAUAAGGCAUAAGGCGCUGGCCAUGGUUAGGUAGGUGCUCAGCCAGGAAGAUAGGGCAGAUUCACAUGGGGGAGAUUGGCUCGGUGAUGAGACCACUUCUGACUCCACCAGAACCAGGCCCAGCUCUUCCUGGAGGUCCUGACUCAACGGGGACUUUUGCAUGGGAGCCAAAGAACAGUGGAUGUCUCUUGUCCGCUGAUCAUCUCUUCCCUUCCCCCACCCCAUAUUCCAUCCCAUGCCAGAUCCCUAGGCUGUGCCUGUUAGAGCUACUGUAGCACCACAUGGACUUGCCUUUAAAGCAGAAUUUUUAGAAGUGCAGUUGCUUUUCUUUACUCUGCUGUGGGAUGCUGAACACCUUGUUCUUUCUCCAGCUCAGCAGGGCUUGGAGUUGGUUCCUAGCUAUCUCUGGGAAUGCUCGAUCCCCAUCUCUGUUACCAGCCAAAAGGGUCUGCGGGAGGUGGUCGGCACUCCAGUCAGCAGCCCUCUCAGUACCUCUUCCCCAGACAUAGUCAAAGCAAGUCAUUCAUCUGCAGCCAGUCUCCCCUGCCCAUUCACCAAGGAGAACCUGGGGAUAGGACCACUCAGAGCCUGGCCCAGGCUGGCUCACUAACUGUGUGUAAAUACACACAGCGGAAAGAGUAGGUGCUGAACACACAUGUGUGAGAGAGUGAAUUUUUACUCUCAAUCACCUUAUAUAUAUUAUCAAUAGUUUCAAAGUAUGUUGCCCAAAGGAUGUUAAUUCCUAAGAAGGCUUUUAUAUCGUUUGGAGUUUUGAGGAGUGUGUUGGCUGAAGAGAAGAGGGUCUGGCCCCAGUCUUGAUGGGAAUGCAUGGGGUAAACAGCUGGUGGCAGAGGUACAAAAGGGGCCUCUCUACUUUCUAAGAGAAUCUUCCAUCCUGGCUGAUUUUAGGACCUGGGGUGGGGUUCCCAUCAGGAGGAGGCCUAAGGAAGGAGUAGGACCCUUCCUAGAUGGCUGAGUCAACUUAUACGACAGGGCAGGGAAACCUAUCUUGGAAACCCGGGAGCCCUCCUUCCUCCUCCCCAUCCUCAGGCCUCACCUGAGACUUGAAAAUGGACCAGAGUCUUCCUCCAACAGUGAAAUUCGUUAAAGAGUCACUCCUGUCUAGAAUGUGCAGAAAUGCAAGCCUCUCUCUUUCUCUCUCUCUCUCUUUCUCCACCUUGAGGAUGCUGUAUCUAGAGCCCAUAUAGGGACAAGAAGGUAAGCAGUGAAAGCAGGAAAGAAGUAGAAGGCUGGCUGUCAUCCAGCUGUGCAUACAGUCCUAUCUCAGCUGAACUGUGCACGGUGAAUGAGGAAGUAAAUGACAGGUGAAGGACCAAGAGAGUGAAGCUAGUCAGUUUAUCUGAGGAGAUAGGUAUCAGUGAGUAACUGUAAGGAUCACACCCACAGUGGGUGUGCCCCGCAGAUGGAUAUAUGUGCAGCAAGCGGUACCUUGCGGGGGAAUGCAAGCUCCAACUGUGGUGCUGAGCCUCUGGCCCAUAAGUAACCCAGUGAGCCUGAGCAGGUCACUCCCUCUCUUUGAACCUUGUCUCCAUCUCUAAAACAGGACAGCUUUCUCCAUCUUAAACACCAAGUAGGAAUUCAUUGUGGAAACCUUCCAUCAAAAUUGGAGAUGCCUUGGAUGGACCCUGUGGUGGCUCAUGCCUGUAAUCCCAGCACUUUGGGAGGCUGCGGCAGGCAGAUCACUUGAGUCCAGGAGUUUGAGACCAGCCUGGGUGACAUGACAAAACCCUCUCUCCACAAAAAAUACAAAAAUUAGCUGGGCAUGGUGGCAUGCACCUGUAAUCUCAGCUACUUGGGAGGCUGAGGCAGGAGGAUCGCUUGAGCCUGGGAGGUUGAGGCUGUAGUGAGCCGAGAUAGUGCCACUGCACUCCAGUCUGGGCAACAGAGUGAGACCCUGUCUCAAAAAAACAAAAAAUAGAGAAAUAGAGAUGCCCCUUGAACCCAUGGGUUUUUGGGACUACAUUCUGGAAGCUUUCAGAGUCAGACCAGAGUUUGAAAGAGGCAUUGUGUCACUAGCCGUGUGCCCGUGGGCAAGUCACAGUAGAGUCUACUUCCCACGGCACUUGUGAGACUCAUCUGGGAUUAUGUGUGUCCAUGCCUUGGCAGAGAGCUUGGUGAAGAAUGUUAGUUGUCCAAUAAAUGGUACCCCAUUAAGUUGGUGUGCAGGGUGGCCACAGGGCCAGACCACCCUGAAAAUAAAGGCUUAUAUUUGGGCUGAGCCUGGAUGCACCUGAGAUUACAAGCAGGUGCUUAGAAUGUGGUGAAAAAGAAAGACAGGAGAGAAUGGCUGAAGGCAGCAUGCAGUCCACCUGACUUUCUGGGAAGAUUGGGCAUUUGCAGGGCUGAUAAGUCAGGUUCUUCCGGGCCUUUCUGUGAGCUCAUUAGAGGAAGGGGUCUGGUGACUGAUAUUUCUAUUUUCCCUGUUAGUAGCGACUGGAAUUUGCACCAUCCAGGUCAGAUGGAAAAUAGAAGGCGGGAAAAUCUGACAGUCUCAUUGAUUUGCUCUCUUUGCCAUCACCACUCUUGAGAGGAAGAAAUGUGACUUCAAACUUGCAAUUAGGAACCAGCCUGCUAAGGAGUCCUCUCGUGAGCUCCUGUGCUAUGCGGAGCACAGGCCCAUCUCAUCUCAUUUCCUAAGGAGGUAGGUUCAUUCAUGGUUUCAGCAGGAGCAGGCAGUGCAAACGUGUGACACCCGCCCGCAAAUAACUGCCAGAAAGGCCGUCCAAUGCUUCCUUCACAUUUUUGGUCAGAUCUCUGAAAAGAUGGCCAUUCUCCCAAUGUUUUAAAAGUAUUAACUUCCUUUCAAACAUCCUUUAACCUUUAAUGUUUUGUAACUUGAUGAAAAGGUCAUUUUGUGCUGAGGAUGCAGUUGUUCCGGAAUUGUUCAGCUAACGGGGUGAAUUCCAACCAAAUCCAGAAUUAUUUAAUGGGAUCCAACGCCCCGGCCACACGCACAAUAAGUGAAUAUUUUCCCAUAUAUGUCUGUGUACAGGUACAUGUACUUGUGCAUAUGUAUUUACAUAUUUGUAUCUAUGCAUGCACAUAUACUCAUUGGGACUUGGAUUCAAUGGACAUUUUUAGCCUUCUCACAAAAUGACUUAUCCUUUGCAGGAAAAUAGAUAUUAAACUUACUCUUUUGAACACAUUUUGCUAAAUAUUUGAUGGCAAUUAUUUAUGGUGCACUGUACUUAUUCCUGAUUUCUUACAGAAGGGGUUGGGUCAAUUUCUAAUUCAACAUUUCAUUGCUGUCUCUACAAUAAAUGCCUCCAGAAGCUUAGGAGAAUUGAGAGGUUUUUUUCCUCUCUCUUCUUUCACAGUGUGAGCUUUUUAACUGUCACUGGCUAGAGCAGUCCUUCUUCACUUUUACCUUCCUUAGCUGAUGUAUUCUUGGAAACAGAUGGCUGAGCAUGUUAGAUUUAUAUUUAAAAUAAGAGUAGAGUUAAUAGGCUCAAAUAAGAGCAGGAAGGUAUUUUCUACAAGGAAACUGCAUGAAGUUUAUGCCUGGACUCUGGAAGAUGUGUUAAUACUUUUACUUAUUCAAGAGGCAUUGGGUUGUGGUCUGCUAUGUUUCUUGCUCUGAUGACUGAGUUUUUAAGAUAAAGGCUCUCCGGGCAAAUAAGGAACAGUUGGAUAGAGUAGCUCACCUUAAGUCUCUAUAGACUCAUGUAGAGAACAAAUCUGAUCUAAACUGUGUAAAAAAAUGAGUAAGAGAACUCUAUAAGAUUAACACUCUUAUUAAACUUAAAAGAGAAAAUUGGUACUUUUUUUUUUUUUCUUAGACAGAGACUUGCUCUGCUGCUCAGGGUGAAGCACAGUGGCACAAUGUCGGCUCACUGCACUCACCUCUGCCUCCUGGGUUCAAGCGUUUCUUCUGCCUCAGCUUCCCGAAUAGCUGGGAUUGCAGGCAUGCACCACCACACCCAGCUAAUUUUUGUACUUUUAGUACAGACAGGGUUUCAACAGGUUGGCCAGGAUGGUCUCGAACUCCUAACUUCAAGUGAUCCACCUGCCUCAGCUUCCCAAAGUUCUGGGAUUACAGGGCACCAAAAAUUGGCACUUUUAAAAGGAGACAAGUUUUACUUAAAAGCAAAAGCCUUUAACAGGCCUUUGGCUGGAUUAAAUGAUAAUGAAGCGAAGCAAAGCUUGUGACCACUCUGUAGAGCCAUCCAGAUAGUCUCUCUUUGGGGCCAGAUCCUCUAGAAUGCAUGAUUUAGGGUCAUUCAUUGCACAUUCCUGGCUUCAGACUGGUUUUCUGAAUUUCCCUGCAAUCUGAUUUUUGUCUUCCUACAUUUCUGUGUGUGAGAUACAUCAAAAGGUAAAAGAAUGUGUGAAUCAUAUAGGUACGGUUUAAAUAAUACCUGCAUACACAACACUCAGUCACCUGAAACCCCCCGACACCUCCCAAUUCCAGUCCCCUCUCCUGGAGGCCACCUCUAUUUUUAAUUUUUGUAAUGAUCACUUCCUUGCCUUACUUUGUAGUUUUAAUAUUUAGAUGUGUAUACCUGGUCAUGUUCAUAAAUGAAAUCAUGUUGUAUGAAUUAUUUUGUGUCUUGUUUCUCUUACUCAGCAUUGUUUUUCGGACUUAACCAUGUGGAUUUGUGUUGCUGGUUCAUGGUCAAGGUUCUAGACUAUGAAAACAUUAGUUUCAUGAAAACAUUAGGAUUUUUUCCCCCCAAUUGUUUGGAUAUCAUGAAGAAUGCCGCUGCGAACAUGUUUGUUCCUAUGCCAUAACUCACAUGGGGAAUAUCUCCUAUUUAUAUAUAGUUAGGGGUGGGAUUGCUUGGUCAGAGUUUGCAUAUCUGCAGCUCUAACUGUUUUCCAAGAUGAUUGUGUCAAUUUUCACUCCCACAAGCAGUUUUUAAAGUUCCCAUUGUUCUACAUCCUUGCCAGCCUAUGAUAUUGUUAGCAAUGUUUCUUCGUAUUUGUAAUGUUUCCUAAUCUAGCGGCUGUGGUUGCUGUCUCACUGUGUUUAAUUUGCAUUUCCAUGAUUACUAAUGAGUUUGAGCACCUUUUUUAUAUCUGCGUGGUGAUCGGGAAUGCCUUAUUUGUGAGAUGCCUGUUCAAGUCCUGCCAUUAUCCGUUGCAUAUAUGUUUCACAUUAUUUCACCCAAGUUCUCUGUUGCCCAGGUUUGUUUCAGAUUGGUUUGGGACAGUGGAUCAGAUCAGAAAUGUUUCAGUGACAUCUCUCACUAUAUUUCCUAGGAUGCUUUUAUCUGUGAGAAAUACGACCCCCUGCUCACACUGGCUUAAGGAAAUUGGCAAGAGGUAGAUUAUGGCUCCAUUAUAUUAACAGGAAGCCAGUUUGCUCUGCCUUCUUACUCUUCGCUUCGUUUUCGGCAUAAUCUCAUCCUCAAGGUGUUUUAUCUUAUGAUUUCAAGAGGACCACAAAUGGCGAGUGGAACUAAUUGCUUCUUUGUCCACAUUCCACAAGGAAGAGAAUAAUAGAAAACUUUUCAUUGACCCAUGUAAUCUAAGUCAUACCCUUCAGUUUCCAGGGGCCACGUCCAUGAAGCAGGAGGCAUCUGCAGUGAAUGCCAUGCCCUGACGCCUUACUGAGCACUCCUAGUAGGACAAAAUGAGUACUGUAUGGGGAGGAGGCAACCUCAAACAACCACCAUGCUUACUGCCAAGCCUAUAGGAUAUUUUUAAAUUCAUUUUUUAAUUUGCAUAUAAUAAAAUGCAUUUUUUUGGGAUGCAGUUUUCUGAGUUUUGCCAAAUGCACAAAAUCACAUAACUACCACUGCCAUCAAGAUUUGGAACAGUGGCUAGGUGUGGUGGUGGCUUACACCUGUAAUCCCAGCACAUUGGGAGGCUGAGGCAGGAGCAUCGCUUGAGCCCAGGACUUCAAGAUCAGCUUGAGCAACAUAGUGAGACCCCAUCUUUACAAAAAACUUUUUAAAAAUUAGCUGGGCAUGGUGGCAUGUGCCUGUAGCCCCAGCUACUUGGAAGGCUAAGGCAGGAGGAUCACUUGAACCUGGGAGGUUGAGGCUGCAGUGUGCUGUGAUUGCACCGCUGUACUCCAGCCUGGGUGACAGAGGAAAACCCCAUCUCAAAAAUUUUUUUUAAAAGAUUUAGAGUCGUUUUCUUUUUUUUCUUUUUUUUUUUUGGACAGAGUUUGGCUCUUGUCGCCGGGGCUGGAAUGCAAUAGUACAAUCUUGGCUCACUGCAACCUCCACCUCCCAGGUUCAAGUGAUUCUUCUGCCUCAGCCUCCCGAGUGGCUGGGACUACAGGUGCCCAGCACCACACCUGGCUUUUUUUUUUUUUUUUUUUUUUUUUUUUUUUUUUUUUUUUAGUAGAGGCAGGGUUUCACCAUGUUGACAGGCUGGUCUCGAACUCCUAACCUCAGGUGAUCCACCCUUUUUGACCUCCCAAAGUGCUGUGAUUAUAGGCAUGAGCCACCGUGCCUGGCCUAGAAUAGUUUUCUUACUCCCCCAAAACUGCUUUAUGCUGCCUUUUUGUAGUCAAACUAUCUGCCUGCCCUUAACCCCAGCUCCCCCGCAUUAGAAACCACUGAACCUCUGAUCUGUUCUUCACCUUAAAGCUUUCCCUUUUCCAGGGUGUAGCGUAUGUGGAAUUAUAGAGUAUGUCACCUUUCAAGUCUGGCUUCUUUCAUCUAGUGUAAUGCAUUUGAGAUUUAUCUAUGUUGUCGGAUGUAUCAGUAAGUUUGUGUCUUAGCAGUGCUGAGAAGUAUUCCUUUGCAUGGAUGUACCCAGAUCUGUUUAUCCAUUCAUCAGUUAGAGGACAACUGGGUUGUUUCCAGUUUGGGGUGAUUACAAAUAAAGCCACGAUGUACAAGCACCUCUAGGUUUUGGGUGAACAUAAGUUUUCAUUUCUCUUAAGUUUCAAUACCUAGGAGAAUGAUUGCUAGGUCAAUGGUAAGAGCGUGUAUAAUGCUACAAGAAAGUGCUAAACUGUUUUCCAAAGUGAGUGUAGCAUUUUGUAUCCCCGCUAGCAAUGAAAUGAGAGCUCCGCUUGCUCUGUAAGAGGCAUUAGUGAAUAUGAAAGUGCUUUGUAAAGACUAAGGGUGUCUCACAGUGUGCCCAGGCGGGAGGAUUCAGAGGGGGCAUUUCUAAACUCUAAACUCCUGUGGGCUCCUAGCCCAUCCUUCUGAAUGGGGACAGAAUACUUCCAUUUCCAGGUUACUUGCUUCUCCAAAAGGGAGACAGGGAAGUAUCCUUCUCUUUUUGCAAAUGAGGGCACAGCACUGCCUCUCGUGGUUGAGCCAGUCAUUAUUCAGUAGGAACAGCAGUGAGAUUCUCCAGCCUUCUAUUUUAUUCCUGGGGUCACAGAGUAAAAUGCAGCGUGAUCAUUUGGAGCAUUCUUAUGCUUUGUGACAAGAACAAAGCCAGUGGAAACAGCCAUGUGUCCAAUCAGAAUGUCAGAGCUGGCAGGGACCUUAGCAAUUGUCACUUUACAGAUGAUAACCUAUUACAUCCCCAGGUCCCCAGAAUCCCAGCCCAGGACUCACUCCCUCAGCCUUCCUGGAUUGUCCUGGGUGGAACAAGAUCAGCUCAUUUAGCACAUAGUCUUCCAGAACACAAGGCAGUGUCCCACCAAGGUUGGAUGGGACCAGCUUCUCUAUCCACAGUAGCUGUGCACACAGAGACAGAAAUGAAGCCGUACUGCCGGGUGCACCGUGGCCAGAGAUCCUCCUUCCUGGUAUAUACUCCCGGAGCCAUUGCUUCUUUCAUUUCAGUGCCCAUUUCUGAGGCACCUUCACAUUUCAAACGUCCUGAGAAUAUGUUUAAUUAGAACUUGGCCAUACAGCCUUUUAAAACAAAACAGAAGGGACCAGCUAAUUAUAUCACUCAGCAUUCUGUGGCAAACAUAUAUUUUUUAAUAAAACACUUUCCUAACCAGAGUAAUCCCUGGAGAUGCAAAUCCUCAUUUAUAAGAAGUUUCCCAAAGGGAGUUAAAGAGAAGAUGCCUUAUAAAGAAAAGAGACAAAGAGAGUGGGGAAGUGUUUUCAAAGAGCUUUUAAAAGAUACACUCAUUCUGAGGUUGAAUUACAGAUAUUUUAAGGGUACCAAAUUUUAUUUCAGAUGUAAUCCUUUCCUGUGUUUUUGAUCAUGUAUUUCCGUUUUUUCCCUUUUUGAUCAUUGCCACAAAUGCCCAUAUUUCUCUUUCUGGUGUCUUUCAUAAGUGCAAUAUUUAAAUAAACAAGGGAUUUUCCCAAAAUGCACCUCAUCUCCUACUCUUUGUCAUUUCCUUGUCUUGCUCUGUAAAUAACCGUGUGUCUCACAGCAGAGCUUACACAGAAUGGAUGUGGGGCAGUCUGUGGUCCUGGGGAGGGCCUUCCCUGUAAUCUCUGCAGCCCAGGACAGGGAGAGGGAAGAUUUAGAUCCUGCUGCGGCAUGUCUUCAGGAGUGGAGGUCAGCUUGGGACAUUUACGUUCAUGAGGCAGCCGCAGAGGGUCAGAGCAAUAAUUGUGCCAGCUGAUGUUUGCUGCGGGGUUUACUCCAAGCCAGGCCACACGCUAAGAAAUUAGGUAUCGUACCUCAUUUAAUCCUCACAAUCCUCACAAAAUGUAGUUGUUUUGCUCCAUUUUGCAGAUGAAGAAGACGAGGCUUGAGAGACGAAGGAAUGAAUGAAGGGUCUCACAGCUGUUAGAAGGGUUAGAUCUUGUAUUUGGACUCAGGUCUGCCUGCCCUGGAACUUGACUCUCCCACACCUGGUGCUGGGCACACUAGGAGACGUCACAAGGCUCAGAGAUGCCACCCUUCCUAGAACGGGCGCCGUGCCUCUCUUCUCCACACACUGCAGGGGAGACAGGCACUGUGUUUUCAGAUAAGUUCCAUGUGCAUCAGGGGCUCGGUGGGAAAGGGAGGACACACUCAGAUUAGGAUUAUUCAUGGAGGAUUCUCCAAAGAGGCUAUUUGGAAAGACGGAGGGAAUGGUGAAGGAAAGCACAAGAGAAAAUGGACAGAACCGUUACUUCCUCACGCCUGAAGGGGAUGGGUUACUGGAAGCCAGGAGGAGAGUGUGAUAAGAGCCACUUUUAGAGGAGCUUUCACCUUCAGGAGAAAGUCAGGGCCCAAGAAGACCCACAGGGAGGUGACCAGGGAAUGGCAUACUUGGACUACCCUCUCUUCUGUUCCUCCACUCUCCUGCCAGGGCUCCACAUUGGAUAAACCCCUGCAGGGGCGAGUGAAACUGCCACCCAGGUUUGCCUCCCAGGGCACAGCCCAUGGAGAGCUCUAAGGCAAGUGGCAGAAAACUAGCACAGGUGCAGUGCGUCUUGCAAAGCACCCAGCCUAUGCCGGCCCUGGGCUAGAAAUGGGAAGAGAGGAGACCAUGGCACUGCCCUCAAAGAUCUUAGAGUCUGUGGAGGAGUCAGGCAGAGAGAGGGGGUGUUCCCUUGGCAAAGGACUCCAUGAGCAGAUGCAGGCCAUGGGCGACGCUCCUGCAGAAGCUUUGGGGUUUGCCGCAUGUGCCUGGAAGGAGCGCGCCCACCUUGACAUGCCUCGCCUCCUGUUGCCAUUGACAACGUGAAGGCAAACUCCUGGGGCUGGGCCUUUUUCCUUGAGAUAAAAUAUGUAUAAUUCUCUGUUAUCAAAUGAUUAUUAAACAAAAUCUAAUUGAAAAAAUAGAAAGAAGAAAAGAUAAGUCAUUUAUCAUCCUGUUCUCCAAAGACAACUGUGAACAGCUUGGUGGAACUCCUUCCAGUGGCUUUCCUUGGAGCUUUGCCUCUGUGGAUGUGGUAAGAGUCGGAUGCGAUUUUGAAUUUUGAGAUUUUGAUUGAGCAUUGUUGUAGUAUUUUGCCAUGUUAUGAUAAAUCAUUGGCAAACAUAGUUUUUGACGGCUGCAUAAUAUUCUGCAUAAUAUUCAUAAUAAUGAAUGCUAGUAUAGUUCAUAUUAUAAUUCUUCUACUGUAUUUAUUUAUUUAUUUAUUUUUGAGAUAGAGUCUUGCUUUGUCACCGAGGCUGGAAUGCAGUGGCGCGAUCUCAGCUCACUGCAACCUCCACCUCCUGAGUUCAAGCUGUCCUCCCACCUCAGCCUCCUUCAAUAGCUGUGACUACAGGUAUUCGCCACCAUGCUGGACUAAUUUUUGCAUUUUUUAGUAGAGACGGGGUUUCACCAUGUUGGCCAGGCUGGUCUUGAACUCCUGACCUCAGGUGAUCUGCCCGCUUCGGCCUCCCACAGUGCUGGGAUUACAGGCAUGAGCCACCACGCUCAGCCUUCUUCUACUGUUUAAAUGUUUAGGUUAUAUCCUGUUUCAUUAAUAUUAAAGAAUGCUAUAAUUAAAAACUUUGUGUAUAGAGAAUUUUUCCAUGUUUCAGAUUAUUUAUCCAGGAUGAUGUCUCUAAAAUAAAGCUACUAGAGGUUGAAGUAUCUAGCCCAGGGCCAGCCACAGAAUAGACACAACUUGGUUGAUAACUAUUGUUGUUCAGUGGUGAGUGUUUAUGUAAAGCUCUUCUGCAAUUAAGAACUGCUCCAAAGUCCUUCCUCUAGAACAGCGCUUGAAUAUGAUGUGAGCCACGUAAUUCUCAAUGUUAUAAUAACCACAUUUCAAAAAGCAGACACAGUUGAAAUUAAUUUUAAUAAUACCUUUUACUGGAGCUGGGCAUGGUGUCAGGCCUGUAAUCCCAGCACUUUGGGAGGCCGAGUUGGGCAGAUCACAUGAGCCCAGGAGUUUGAGACCAGGCUGAGCAACAUGGCAAAACCUCAUCUCUACAGACAAAUACAAAAAUUAGCCAAAUAGGUGGUGUGUGGCUGUAGUCCCAGCUACUCGGGAGGCUGAGGUGAGAGGAUCACUUGAGCCUGGGGGGUUAAGGCUGCAGUGAGCCAAGAUUGCACCAGCGUACCCCAACCUGGGUGACAAAGUAAGACCCUGUCUCAAAAAAAAACAUUAAUUAAUUAAAACAAACAUAAAAAUACAUUUUACUUAACCGAUUAUAUCUAAAAUAUUAUUUCAACAUAUGAUUAUAUGUAAUCAACAUAAAAUUUAUCAAUGAGAUAGUCUACAUUUUUUUCCCAUGUAAACCUUUGAAAUCUGAUGUAUAGAUUUUAUGCUUACAACACAGCUCCAUUCAAACCAGCCUCAUUCCCAGUGUUCAGUAGCCACGUGGGUGCCUGAUAGCCACUGUGGACAGUGCAGGUCUAGGGCAAGGAACCCACCAGAGAUAUUUGCCACUGUUGGCAUCUUCACCUAGCCCUGAAAUCCAGCCACCUUUUAAUGCCUCCCCGAACCCCCUUACUGGCGUUCUGGACUGAGGGUGGACCGGGUGGCCAGGUGUGACAUGACUUCUGUACCUGGACAUUUUUACCAGUCGUCCUCAUUCCUGCCUUGACCUUGACCUUAGCCAAUCACAGCAUCCCUCUAUCCCAGUGUGCCUGGCACUGGUUCAUUCAGAGACAUUGCACACUUCCCGCAUGGUAAGCCCUGGGCCUGACCCUAGGGAUACAGGUGGACAAACAGAACUUUCUUGUAAAAUUUAAUUACAGAACUUGUCAGUGUUUUUACGGUCUAGUGGGGGAGACAGACUUUAAUCAAAUCAUCACACAAAUAUAUAUAGUUUCUAAAUGUGGUUAAGUGCUACAAGGGAAAUGCACUUUUAAAAAUGCUAACACUGGGUCAUGGCAUGAGUGGCCCGCCCUGAAGGCAUUUAAUAAAGGUGGCCCAGCCCCUGGCCAGGCUGUCUUAGGGAACAUUCAUGUGAAAGAUGAGAGUGAGAUAAGAGGAUCUCAGUUUCCUUCUGGUAUCCAGGGUCCCUAAGCUACAUUAACAGAGUUUCUAGGACAGACAGUAGCUCACCGGUUCCUGUGUCUGGGGCCCAGUUGAUCAAUUUGUUGUUUGUCAUCUCUAAAAAGUAUUGCGGCCAGCUGGAACAUAAAAGUAAUGAGGAAACAGGCCAGGUGCAGUGGCUCAUGCCUGUAAUCCCAGCACUUUGGGAGGCUGAGGUGGGCGGGGGAUCACCUGAGGUCGGGAGUUUGAGAUCAGCCUCACCAACAUGACUAAAACCUGUCUCUACCGAAAAUACAAAAUUAGCCGGGCAUGGUGGCACACGCCUGUAAUCCCAGCUACUUGGGAGGCUGAGGCAGGAGAAUCACUUGAACCUGGAAGGCGGAGAUUGCAAUGAGCCGAGAUCGUGCCACUGCACUGCAGCCUGGGGAACAAGAGUGAAACUCUGUCUCAAAAACAAACAAACAAAAAAGUGAUGAGGAAGCAGAAGGCUACCCAUUCAUUCAUUCAUUCAUUCAUUUGUUCCUGUGUUCACGCAGCAACUCUCAGUGAGUGCUCUGUGGGAUGCCAGGCAGGCUCUGCACAGUCAGAAUGGCAAAGUCAGCCUUCUCUCUGGCAGAUUACACACUGCCAACUGAACACACUUUUCCGGGGAACAUAUCCACUUAAAAGAGAGGAAAAAUCAAUGCUAAUAGAACUCCUUAUCUGGUUCCAAAAAUGACAUCGUCCGUAGUGGCUGAUGCUUUGAGCCCAUGGCUGCUCUGGAGGCAUGAGCCCUGCAUGGACACAAUUUUGUAAGCUCCUCGAACCUGGCCAAAUCAAUCAAUGAGAGGCUGCAGCAUGGAGAGAGUCUGGGUUCCAGGGGCAAACUGUACCAUUCCUCUUCUAACCUGAAACAGGACGGAGACCCUCCCUUCAACCUCCAGCCCCUAGGGACAGGGUAAUUUCAGCUGCACCUGAUGUACCCUAUACAUCACUGUCUUCUCCACCAGCUCUCAAAUUAAACUCUGAUGUAUAAAGUUAAACAAAAAUGAGAUAAAAUUUGGCAGAGGUUGAAGAGGGUCAAAGUAGUCCAAACAUAAGGUAGACUAUUGCUUCUUUUGAUUUAUGUUAUUCUGUACACUGAGAAAAAAAUAAAAUUAUAAAUCUCCCCGAGACUUUCUCAUUGAGAAUGAGGCAUUGCUAAUUGAUUUUCAAUAGACUCCCAGGGUUUUCAGCUGGGAGGAGCACUAUAGCUGUUGUUUGUAGUGAAGAUGCCAUGGUUCGACCUCGGACAUGUACUGUGAUGAUGUAAAAAUAUCCUGCAAAAUUAACAUCUGCAGGCAGUGAUGUUGAAAACCACCCUGCCUUACCUGGCUCAUGUCACAGACCACAGUGUCUGUCCUUCCUUAUUUUCUUAUUUAAUCCUUGCAAACCCCUAAUAUGUGACACACAGAAUUCACUGUCCCCUUUUGGCAGUUAGGGAAACUGAGGCUUAAAGAAACCACGUGUCUUCAGUAAAUAUUAGCAUGUCUACUAAAUGGCUGGGACACAGAAGUGAACAAGACCAGUACCCUCUCCUAGAGACCUUCUUCCAGUACAAGAGACGAUAAUCAAGUCAAAUGACUAAAUAUAAAGGAUUAUUAGUGUGUAGAAUUAAUUGUGAGGAAAUGGAAGUGGGAAAAGGGAUAGAGAAAAAGGGGUAUAGAAAGCCAAGGGAGGGCCUUAACAAGGGAAUAUUUAACAGUAAAACAGUAAGAUUUACUUUUUUUUUUUUUUUUGAGAUAGGGUCUUGCUCUGUCACCCAGGCUGGAGUUCAGUGGUACUAUCAAAGCUCACUGCAGCCUCAAACUCCUGGGCUCAAACAAUCCUCUCACCUCAGCCUCUCAAGUAGCUGGGAUUAUAGGUACACAACAACACACCUGGCUUAUUUUUUAAUUUUUUGUAGAGAUGGGAUCUCACUAUGUUGUCCAGGCUGGUCUUGAACUCCUGGCCUCAAAGGAUCCUUCUACCUCAGCCUCCCAAAGCACUGGGAUUACAGGCAUAAGCCACCAAGCCUGGCCCAAGAUAUACAUUUUUAAAGGAUGGUGAAGGCUGCUGUGUGUAGAACUAACUCAGGGGGACAAGGGCAACAUCAGAGAGACCAGUUAGUAGGCUGUGCUCAUUUUCUGGACAAGAUAUGGUGGUGAGUUGGGCCAGGUGGUGGCAGGAGUGGUAGGUUGCAGAGCUUAGAACAAUUUUGAAGAUAAGGUGUCUCCAAGGGAUCUGUUCCUGCUCCGUUGCUCUUUCCACAGCACGCUACCUGCAGCUUCUGCUGGUAUCACUGCACCAGACUCUGGAGCACGCUGCUUCUCUGGAGGAGGAUAAAGACAGGGAGGCUAUCUAGGGAGAUAAGACUGCACCAGCAGGCAGCAGGGGCUUCCGAGAAGAGGGCCCCUAGUCCUGGCUGCGUAUGUGCUUGUGUGUGUCACUUGCGAUGUGCAUAAUCAUCUUCAGUCUUAUUUUUCCCAGGUAACUGCAAAAGGUAAUUUCCAGCUCAUUUAGCUCUGUUCUUUCCCUAAGCUCCUCUAGUCUGGCUUUUGUCUCUGCCACUCCUACCAAAACCACUCUGCUCAAGGCCAUGAUCAAUGUCUCCAUUGCCUAGUCCAGGACAGUCAGAGCUGCUCUGGGACAGAUACACCAGAUGCAUGAGUUUCCUGAUAGAGCAGGAUCUCAGUGGAGGCUCGAUGCCCACCUGCCUGAUGCUGUGGGAUGGAUUUCUGCACAGAUGCAACCUCUGUGGGCAGAGGCCAGGAUGAGGCUUAUGUGGCUGUGAAGACAGCCUUUGAUCUGUUUUCUGAUGCAACCACAGUGCUGCAGGCCCUGCUUCAUCUUGGAGGUUUGAUGAGUGCAGACAUGAGAGGUUUCUAGGUAGAGCUGAGCCCUGGGCUCUCGAGUCUCCUCUGUCUGCAUAUCUGCAUGUGGUUGGCAAAGUGCCAGCCAACCUCAGUGCAACCCUCACCAAGUUCUCAAGGAACAGCCUCUGAAAGUCCCUCUCUAUGCUGAGUUCUAGGGAAGGAAAAGGAACUCAGGGAAUAGAAGAGCUGAUCUGCCCAAGUCAUACAUUUCUUGGGGGCACAGGAGGACUACAUCUCUCAUGCUCACUUGAAAUUAACUGUGGCCACUCAAAUUAAGGUUUACCAGAUGGAACAUGAGCGGGAGUGAUGUGUUCUCUCUAAAGGCCUAACCCAUGAAAAACCUAUUGGGAACACUCCCCCAUGCUCUUUUCCAUUCCAUGAGCUGGAUGCAGAUGAUGGCAAGGAACUAGGGUGAGGUGGAACCACAAAACAGAGGGAGCUUGGAUCCCUGAAUGACCACAUGGACAUACACAUACACCAAAGACUGUCUUGUAAGCAAGAAAUAAACAUCUACUGUAUGGAACCUUUGCAUGGAGGGUCUAUUUGUUAUAGCAGCUUAGCUUACCCUGACUAAUACAAUCCCUGCUCUCUGAGAAUUUAAAAUUGCUUCAAGGAGACAAGACUCACUCAUACAAUUCUGGAAUGGUAGUACGUGGCUUCGAAGAAGGGUGGGUUGUAAGGUUUGGACUUUCAGUUCUGAAGUCACAAGCUAUAGGCCCUUGGGUAUUAGACUCUCCUAUUGAAGGCCUUUUUCUGGAAAGCUGGAAGAUAGACUGGGGAGAAGGCCCUUCUGGAAGAGGACACAUUACAAUCAAGGGUUCAAAAGUAGGGCUUGAAGCAAGCAUAGAUGAGAUCAACAAUGUUAAUUCCUAGAAAAUGAAAAAGGAAAAUGGCCUUUAAAUACCUAAGAGCUUUGACUGCUGCAGGGAUGAGACGAAGGCCAGACUUUCAUAACUUCUCUCCUGUGACUUCACACACCUCAGAAGUUUUCUGGUGAGGAGCCCUGAACCUGGGUGUGUGGGGAGUUGGUGUCAGCUUGCUGUUUCUCUCCCAUGCCUUUUCUCCUGGCUAGGAACCCCACUUGUUGUCUGUUUUAACCAAUAACUUAGCUCAGACUUGAAUGCUUGAUUGGAACAGCAAGUCUCCAGCUUUCUGCAGAGGUCUUUGGGGACAGGAAUAUGAUGAAGUUUCUGAGCUGAGGAUUCUAACUGAGACUUCCAGCUCUCAGCUGAACUUCAGACGUGUUCUUUACAGUCACAGCUGUGAAGCUUUUCAGGGCAAGGCCCUGAAAAGCUCAGCUUGGAUCUGUCUGUCCCUACCAGGUUCUGGGGGAAGGGGGAGGAGAGCAGGCAGAACACUCCCAGUUUACAGCCCAGGGAUGCUGAGUCCUGGGGCCAAAGGUGUUGCUCAUCACCCUCGAGCCCUAGAAGUGGCAGGACCUCAGGAGAAUUCAAAGUGGUCUUCCUCUUAGGAAAGAUAAACACUUAUUCCACUGGUUCUCCUCUUCCUGGACACUCCA